rnacentral:rRNA from 1 species
AACGAACGCUGGCGGCAGGCCUAACACAUGCAAGUCGAGCGGACCUUUCGGGGUCAUCGGCGGACGGGUGAGUAAGGCGUGGGAAUAUGCCCUUCUCUAUGGAAUAGUCCUGGGAAACUGGGGGUAAUACCGUAUACGCCCUUUGGGGGAAAGAUUUAUCGGGGCAGGAUUAGCCCGCGUUGGAUUAGGUAGUUGGUGGGGUAAUGGCCUACCAAGCCGACGAUCCAUAGCUGGUUUGAGAGGAUGAUCAGCCACACUGGGACUGAGACACGGCCCAGACUCCUACGGGAGGCAGCAGUGGGGAAUCGUAGACAAUGGGGGCAGCCCUGAUCUAGCCAUGCCGCGUGAGUGAUGUAGGCAUUAGAGAUGUAAAGCUCUUUCAGCUGGGAAGAUAAUGACGGUACCAACAGAAGAAGCCCCGGCUAACUCCGUG